AGAACGAACGCUGGCGGCGCGUUUAAGCAUGCAAGUCGAGCGGCAAGGGCCUUCGGGCCCUAGAGCGGCGGACGGGUGAGUAACACGUGGACAAUCUGCCCCCCGGCCCGGGAUAGCCCAGGGAAACCUGGAUUAAUACCGGAUGAGACGGGACCCGCGAUGGCGGGAUCCGGGAAAGGCGCUGCGGCGCCGCCGGGGGAUGAGUCUGCGUCCCAUUAGCUAGACGGCGGGGUAACGGCCCACCGUGGCGACGAUGGGUAGCCGGCCUGAGAGGGUGGACGGCCACAUUGGAACUGAGACACGGUCCAGACUCCUACGGGAGGCAGCAGCUAAGAAUCUUCCGCAAUGGGCGAAAGCCUGACGGAGCGACGCCGCGUGAGUGAAGAAGGUUUUUUCCGGAUCGUAAAACUCUGUUGUCAGAGAAGAACAAGUUGGAGAGUAACUGCUCCAGCCUUGACGGUAUCUGACCAGAAAGCCACGGCUAACUACGUGCCAGCAGCCGC
rnacentral:rRNA from 1 species